rnacentral:rRNA from 1 species
AUUGAACGCUGGCGGCAGGCCUAACACAUGCAAGUCGAGCGGAUGAAGGGAGCUUGCUCCUGGAUUCAGCGGCGGACGGGUGAGUAAUGCCUAGGAAUCUGCCUGGUAGUGGGGGAUAACGUCCGGAAACGGGCGCUAAUACCGCAUACGUCCUGAGGGAGAAAGUGGGGGAUCUUCGGACCUCACGCUAUCAGAUGAGCCUAGGUCGGAUUAGCUAGUUGGUGGGGUAAAGGCCUACCAAGGCGACGAUCCGUAACUGGUCUGAGAGGAUGAUCAGUCAAACUGGAACUAAGACACGGUCCAGACUCCUACGGGAGGCAGCAGUGGGGAAUAUUGGACAAUGAGCGAAAGCCUGAUCCAGCCAUGCCGCGUGUGUGAAGAAGGUCUUCGGAUUGUAAAGCACUUUAAGUUGGGAGGAAGGGCAGUAAGUUAAUACCUUGCUGUUUUGACGUUACCAACAGAAUAAGCACCGGCUAACUUCGUG